CCGCAGGAUAGCGUAGUCGUUGGGGUGUUCGACUCCCAGCCGAGAGGUUCUGGGUUCGAUCCCCGAGGUCCGCAGUA